UGACAACCUGGUUGAUCCUGCCAGUAGUCAUAUGCUUGUCUCAAAGAUUAAGCCAUGCAUGUCUCAGUACAAGCCAAAUUAAGGUGAAACCGCGAAAGGCUCAUUAAAUCAGUUAUGGUUCCUUAGAUCGUACCCACAUUUACUUGGAUAACUGUGGUAAUUCUAGAGCUAAUACAUGCAAACAGAGCUCCGACCGGAGACGGAAGGAGCGCUUUUAUUAGAUCAAAACCAAUCGGCGGCGGGUCCCCCGUCGCCGUACACUUUGGUGACUCUGAAUAACUUUUGCUGAUCGCACGGUCUCGCACCGGCGACGCAUCUUUCAAAUGUCUGCCUUAUCAACUGUCGAUGGUAGGUUCUGCGCCUACCAUGGUUGUAACGGGUAACGGGGAAUCAGGGUUCGAUUCCGGAGAGGGAGCCUGAGAAACGGCUACCACAUCCAAGGAAGGCAGCAGGCGCGCAAAUUACCCACUCCCGGCACGGGGAGGUAGUGACGAAAAAUAACGAUACGGGACUCAUCCGAGGCCCCGUAAUCGGAAUGAGUACACUCUAAACCCUUUAACGAGGAUCAAUUGGAGGGCAAGUCUGGUGCCAGCAGCCGCGGUAAUUCCAGCUCCAAUAGCGUAUAUUAAAGUUGUUGCGGUUAAAAAGCUCGUAGUCGAAUUUGUGUCCCGCGCCGCCGGUUCAUCGCUCGCGGUGUCAACUGGCGUGUCCGCGGGACGUCCUGCCGGUGGGCUUAGCCCUUCGCGGGCGGCCCAAUCUCAAUCCCGUCGCGGUGCUCUUCACUGAGUGUCGAGGCGGGCCGGCACGUUUACUUUGAACAAAUUAGAGUGCUUAAAGCAGGCUAAAAUAUCGCCUGAAUACUGUGUGCAUGGAAUAAUGGAAUAGGACCUCGGUUCUAUUUUGUUGGUUUUCGGAACCCCGAGGUAAUGAUUAAUAGGAACGGAUGGGGGCAUUCGUAUUGCGACGUUAGAGGUGAAAUUCUUGGAUCGUCGCAAGACGGACAGAAGCGAAAGCAUUUGCCAAAAACGUUUUCAUUGAUCAAGAACGAAAGUUAGAGGUUCGAAGGCGAUCAGAUACCGCCCUAGUUCUAACCAUAAACGAUGCCAGCUAGCGAUCCGCCGACGUUCCUCCGAUGACUCGGCGGGCAGCUUCCGGGAAACCAAAGCUUUUGGGUUCCGGGGGAAGUAUGGUUGCAAAGCUGAAACUUAAAGGAAUUGACGGAAGGGCACCACCAGGAGUGGAGCCUGCGGCUUAAUUUGACUCAACACGGGAAACCUCACCAGGCCCGGACACCGGAAGGAUUGACAGAUUGAGAGCUCUUUCUUGAUUCGGUGGGUGGUGGUGCAUGGCCGUUCAUAGUUGGUGGAGCGAUUUGU
rnacentral:rRNA from 1 species